rnacentral:rRNA from 1 species
CGGGUGAGUAACGCGUGAGGAACCUGCCUCAAAGAGGGGGACAACAGUUGGAAACGACUGCUAAUACCGCAUAAGCCCACAGCUCGGCAUCGAGCAGAGGGAAAAGGAGCAAUCCACUUUGAGAUGGCCUCGCGUCCGAUUAGCUAGUUGGUGAGGUAACGGCCCACCAAGGCGACGAUCGGUAGCCGGACUGAGAGGUUGAACGGCCACAUUGGGACUGAGACACGGCCCAG